rnacentral:rRNA from 1 species
GACGAACGCUGGCGGCGUGCCUAAUACAUGCAAGUCGAACGCAGUGGGGACGGGUGAGUAACACGUGGGUAACCUCCCAUCAGAGGGGAUAACACUUGGAAACAGGUGCUAAACCGAUACUGAUGGAUGGACCCGCGGUGCAUUAGCUAGUUGGUGAGGUAACGGCUCACCAAGGCCACGAUGCAUAGCCGACCUGAUAGGGUGAUCGGCCACACUGGGACUGAGACACGGCCCAGACUCCUACGGGAGGCAGCAGUAGGGAAUAUUGGGCAAUGGACGAAAGUCUGACAGAGCAACGCCGCGUGAGUGAAGAAGGUUUUCGGAUCGUAAAACUCUGUUGUUGGGGAAGCGGUAUCUAAAGAGAAAGCCACGGCUAACUACGUGCCAGCAGCCGCGGUAAUAC